rnacentral:rRNA from 1 species
GAACCAGUACCGUGAGGGAAAGGCGAAAAGAACCCCGGCGAGGGGAGUGAAAUAGAACCUGAAACCGUGUACGUACAAGCAGUGGGAGCACCUUCGUGGUGUGACUGCGUACCUUUUGUAUAAUGGGUCAGCGACUUAUAUUUUGUAGCAAGGUUAACCGAAUAGGGGAGCCGUAGGGAAACCGAGUCUUAACUGGGCGUCUAGUUGCAAGGUAUAGACCCGAAACCCGGUGAUCUAGCCAUGGGCAGGUUGAAGGUUGGGUAACACUAACUGGAGGACCGAACCGACUAAUGUUGAAAAAUUAGCGGAUGACUUGUGGCUGGGGGUGAAAGGCCAAUCAAACCGGGAGAUAGCUGGUUCUCCCCGAAAGCUAUUUAGGUAGCGCCUCGUGAACUCAUCUUCGGGGGUAGAGCACUGUUUCGGCUAGGGGUCCAUCCCGGAUUACCAAACCGAUGCAAACUCCGAAUACCGAAGAAUGUUAUCACGGGAGACACACGGCGGGUGCUAACGUCCGUCGUGAAGAGGGAAACAACCCAGACCGCCAGCUAAGGUCCCAAAGUCAUGGUUAAGUGGGAAACGAUGUGGGAAGGCAUAGACAGCCAGGAUGUUGGCUUAGAAGCAGCCAUCAUUUAAAGAAAGCGUAAUAGCUCACUGGUCGAGUCGGCCUGCGCGGAAGAUGUAACGGGGCUAAACCAUGCACCGAAGCUGCGGCAGCGACGCUUAGGCGUUGUUGGGUAGGGGAGCGUUCUGUAAGCCGUUGAAGGUGGCCUGUGAGGGCUGCUGGAGGUAUCAGAAGUGCGAAUGCUGACAUAAGUAACGAUAAUGCGGGUGAAAAACCCGCACGCCGGAAGACCAAGGGUUCCUGUCCAACGUUAAUCGGGGCAGGGUGAGUCGACCCCUAAGGCGAGGCUGAAAAGCGUAGUCGAUGGGAAACAGGUUAAUAUUCCUGUACUGGGUGUGACUGCGAAGGGGGGACGGAGAAGGCUAGGCUAGCCGGGCGACGGUUGUCCCGGUUUAAGCAUGUAGGCGGAGCGACUUGGUAAAUCCGGUUGCUUAUCAACGCUGAGGUGUGAUGACGAGCCACUACGGUGGUGAAGUAGUUGAUGCCAAGCUUCCAGGAAAAGCCUCUAAGCAUCAGGUGACAUUCAAUCGUACCCCAAACCGACACAGGUGGUCAGGUAGAGAAUACUCAGGCGCUUGAGAGAACUCGGGUGAAGGAACUAGGCAAAAUGGUGCCGUAACUUCGGGAGAAGGCACGCUGGCAUUAGGUAAAGAGACUUGCUCUCGGCGCCGAAGCCAGUCGCAGAUACCAGCUGGCUGCAACUGUUUAAUAAAAACACAGCACUGUGCAAACACGAAAGUGGACGUAUACGGUGUGACGCCUGCCCGGUGCUGGAA